UUUUCAAUGGGAUCCACUAAUCACUACUUACCAAUUGGUUUCAGAUUGGUUAUCAAUUCGGUCUCUACUAUUUGAUGGCUGCCACUAACUUUCAAAGCUCAGCACCGGCUUUUUGCCUGAAGCAAAGGAAUUAAAAACAGAUGCGCAUUUAUGCAUCCGAUAGGAAAAGCACAUGUUAUUUAUAUGGCUUACAUGGAAACCCGAAUGCAAA